CUUUCCGUAAAGGGGACUUGGGGAAGGACCAUUA
rnacentral:rRNA from 1 species